rnacentral:rRNA from 1 species
UCCUACGGGAGGCAGCAGUGGGGAAUUUUCCGCAAUGGGCGAAAGCCUGACGGAGCAAUACCGCGUGAGGGAAGACUGCCUAUGGGUUGUAAACCUCUUUUUUCAGGGAGGAACAAAAUGACGUGUACCUGAAGAAUAAGCAUCGGCUAACUCCGUGCCAGCAGCCGCGGUAAGACGGAGGAUGCAAGUGUUAUCCGGAAUCACUGGGCGUAAAGCGUCUGUAGGUGGUUGAACAAGUCAACUGUUAAAUCUUGAGGCUCAACUUCAAAAUCGCAGUCGAAACUAUUAGACUAGAGUAUAGUAGAGGUAAAGGGAAUUUCCAGUGGAGCGGUGAAAUGCGUAGAUAUUGGAAAGAACACCGAUGGCGAAAGCACUUUACUGGGCUAUUACUAACACUCAGAGACGAAAGCUAGGGUAGCAAAUGGGAUUAGAUCCCCCAGUAGUCCUAGCCGUAAACAAUGGAUACUAGAUGUUGAACAGAUCGACCUGUGCAGUAUCAAAGCUAACGCGUUAAGUAUCCCGCCUGGGAAGUAUGCUCGCAAGAGUGAAACUCA